CGUCGUCAACUACUGCAGUCUACAGAGACAUAUUCAAAGCUGAUCGUUCCGAGCGGAGGUUUGUCACGCGGCCAAUAAGACACGCCGAGUUAAGUAACUGUGCUUGGUAGUUCCAGUAUUUCCCGCGUGGCGACAGGGAACGAGCACGCGACUGGCAUCGGCUCAAAAACAAUAACUAAUAACCCCGUUAAACGUGCGUGCAUCGAGUGCUUGAAAGUGUACUUGAAAUAUCUAGAGACCGUAGUGCCCGACGGGUAGUUCCUACGUAUAGAAAUAUCUCGAAGUGAACGAAAAAUUGCCGGAAGCGUCGAAGCGUUUUGAUAAAUUGUCAUGGCGGCCAUAUUACUAAACGUGCCGUAGAGUUAAUUUAAUCGAGGAACGAAACGAGGAACGUGCUAGGCUCGAAGCGUGUCUCGUAACCAAGGCUGCCCGAGCUGACUGCUGGCUAACGUAACGUAAGGUAGCAUAACCUGUAAGAGCUACCUCUCUAAUGACACGUUCGCGUUUCGCUGAAAGUGCCUGGCGUGCAGAUUACAAGUGGCUACAGUUACUCUUGACUUUCUUGCACGCGUUCGAAAAGGACCUUCACGAUAAACUAUAGGACCUUAAGUUUUGUUUCUAUAGUGGCUGGGUGUACUACCAGAGGAUUUUGGUCUUAGAGAUUCGUCACGUGUCUCGGUUCCGUUAAAGACGAAGAUGGAAAUCUGUAUGCUGCCGCAGUUUGUCCAACGAUCGGAAGGAAUAACACGCGCCGACAUUUGCUUUUAGUGUCGGUUCAUUGCGGCCGCAUUUCUGGAAUGGAUAGAAAACCGAGAUCAGAUGGGGAUGAAGUCAUCAGUACUAGAGUGAAAGCAGCCCCAGCCCAUCCGCUCGCUUGGAAACAAUCACAUUAUAUUUUGUACAUCAACUUGUAUCCGCACCCCACGUACAACGUAUAACCCAGCGCUCCCCCUUUCGCCGGGGUGCGCACUAAUGUAAUGUAAUCAUUCCUUAUUUAUUUAAGCCGAGGACUAAUGAAUGACACUGGUCCUUUACGGUAAUUAAGUCACUGCCGGAGCAGUGCCGAAACAUGACUGAUCUGUCAAAUUAUAGGAUUUGGUAAAAAAAUAUUUCGAGUAAGACUAAAACAAAAAUAGGUUAAAAAAUUUUUUUUUACAAUAACGCAUUUUUUUUUCGAUUUUUCAUAAUUACGUUAUUGAGAUUGAUAUUUGGGCACUUUGCAGUACGCUUUAAGUGGAUGUUUCGAGUUAUCGUUAUUUCCCGUUAAAUUCGAUCGAGUUGCUUGAUACGGGAAAACGUGAGCGGAUCGCCGUGCAAAAAUAUCUAGUGCCAAGUCGUUCGUUCGAUUUGUAAUAACUUCCAGCCAAGGGGACAGGUCAGGGGUCAUUAAGUUUCGUAUUAUAAAUGCAUUAAGUAAUCCAAGAGGCAGAUGAGUCAGGAGAGCGGGAAUCGUGGGCAGGAGCUGGAUUCUGGAGGGCGGCAGGUGGCGUCAAUUUUACGGACCGGCGGCUGUGACGGAUGUAACGAGACGUAGUCCUGGGUCCUAUUCGAGUCCUGCAGGAGAGCAGUCGUCACACGUGGUCGCUUCGCUGCGCACGAUGUCAUGGCUUGUUUUAUGGGAAACAGGGGAUGAACCCUUGGGCUCCAUGAUCGAAAAUCUCUGGAUUAAGAAGCCUACGUUAAAUAAUGAUGCUCGGUAAUAAAAAUGCUAACUUAUUCAGGCUCGAGGUAAUAUUUUGAAAAAUUUUCAAAAUCCGUCCUAUAUUAAUAAUUACGUUGAUCAAACUAAAAAUUAUUAAAUAUAAGACAAAGCUGGUCUUACGAGACCUAAUAAUAAAAGAGACCCUAUUACGUUAAAGAAAAUUGGACCCGGUAAAAAAAAUCUUAUUUACCCUGUGAGCAAGACGUCAAAUACCUUGCGGGUCAUUUUUUAAUGUUUUUGAGGAUACGCGAGAGCGUCGCGUUACAGAUUCAGCCAAAUAAAAGUGUUGAACAAGCAGAUCCAGAAAAGGGGUAAAAUAUCGAUUGGGAAAGAAAUACGUGAGUUUGCUAUGGCUGAAGUAAGGAAGCUGAUCUGAAUGAUAUUAGGGUGGGUUCGCGUGAGUCUUAUCAUCGGGGCUGGAUGAGAUUGUUGUUUUAUUUUGGUCCAUAGGAAGUAUGGAUGGCGCGCGCGGCUCAUUAAGACUAAUGAGUAAUGAGCCGAUGAUUAGAGGAGGCGGACCGGAGGCGUGGCGCCACCUUGAUCUUGCCGACGAAGAAAAAACCUAACCACUCCACCUCCUCAUCCUUCUCAUCCCCUACCACCGCCUCUUCUCUUUUUUAACCACCAUAUUCUUCAUUCCGCUUCCUCUUUCUGUGAAACGUCACUUUUCGCUCAUUUUUGACAACUCUGGUCCCACGGGUUACUCAUGAGAAUUUCGAAAUUUUAAAUCUAUAAUUUUACUUCGGAUCGUUUAAUCAAUUAAGAAUUAAAAAAAAAUUGCAUCCAAAAUGAAUAUUUUGAAAUCUACAUUUUCAUUCCAAUAAAAUCACGGUACAGCUUCUUUGGGGUGUUAUUAGACACGUACUUUGAGCCAAUUUGACGUGAACGAAUGACGUUGAUAAGAAAGUAGAUCGAAAGUAGUCCCGAAGAAAUCGGCAAAGAUAAAAGGCAUGAAGUUUGCUUAAGGUGCCGAGCCCGAGGCGUCGUGGCGGUGUUAAGGCGCUCACGUCAAUUCCGCUGCGGCUCUUCUGAUGCGGCGAGUUUUUGAUUAGAUCGUUAAGCUUGCUAAUGCACCCAUAAACCCUCUAAUUUAACGAAGGUCGACCAAAUAUCCUCAAGUCUGCCGAAUAGCUUUAUUUUUCUCAGCAAAGUCGCGUCCCCUCGUACCGCGAGAAGAAACGGAGUCAGGAUGACCGACCGAGAAUUCCAGAUCCCGAUGAAGCUUCUUCGUUUCCACGGGAACGAAGAAGCAAGUUCCAGCCGUCCGACCGAGGUUAUUCAGAGGAUGAACUAUCCUUGGUAAUAUUUGGACACGGCGACAAUAACGCGUAUACACGAAAAAGAGCCCAGGCUCGACUCGAGCGAAGUCGGCUCCCUUCGGCUGAACUCGACUUUCGAAUAUCACGAGGCACCAACCAUUUGGUGUCCCGUGGUCUGGUGUCAACGUUUGACUUUACGAGGGAGCUGGCAGCUUCGAGAAUGGAAGAAAGGCUGAAGAGUGCAGGGGUCCGCCGAUGCACAAUGGACUCCCGCCGCGGCGAGACCAGCCCCUUUGACUCCUGGAUGAGUUAAUGUUAUCCGGCUCGAUCCUUGUAUAUAGUUGCGUUUCUAUUAAAUCGACGUCAAUCAUGCGAUCUGUUAAAGAUUUAUGUGCGCCAUUGAACGUAUACCAGGGUGGGCCGACGGGGACACGCUAUCUUACAAUGGUAAAGUAUGCGCACUUGCAAUUCGCUAAAUUCCGACCUUUAACUUUCUACAAGAGAAAUUCUUCGUGACGUAACUAAAAAAAAAAAAUGGACAAAGUAAAACAGUCGCUGGAUUAAUAAAAUCCAUCAUGGUACUCUCAUCUUGAUAUUUUCAACUAUGGACCCAUUCCUUGGUAUACAAGCUGCAGCGGGGAAUCUGGGAAGAAGGGGGUGGGAUCAGGGAGAGGAUGAAAGAAAAGAAAAGGUAAUGGGUCUGGUAAAGAUCAGUGUACCGAAAAACGAGAGAUCUCGGUCACCCUUUCCUCCUGGUGUCAUCCAGUAGUGGUGACCUGGCACAGCGUGCGUAUAUUUCCUGUAAAAAUGCCAUGCGGCUCUCAUAGGCUAAGGUACCGUUUCCAAGACAGUAACCUGAUCCUGUUAUUCGCGCGACAGAACCCUUAAGCUUCGAGAGGAUAACUUUUUACUCGCGCUGUUUUUUCCACGGAGUGUAAUAUGCGUGAAGAAGAUAGAGGAGCCAGAUAAGUUGAAACCCUUGGUUGAACAGAGUUGAACCAGGUAUUGGGCCGUAUAGGCCCACGAGAAGAAGUAGGGCCCGAGGAUGUUAAGGCGCGAGUAACCGAGCAACCUCAGGACCCAGAGGGACCGAAUGGAAGGUCUGCCAGGUGACGGCGGCGCCUCGACGCACAUCCAUCUUCGUGGAGGAGCAUCGUGCGUCCAUCCCUCUACUGGGUCCACCGAAGCCCUUCGGGCCCACUGACAUUCCCCCCGACCGUCCCUCUCGAGGUCCGUCCCUCGUAGGACCCAAAACAAACUGAACCGCGCGUCCAGCCAGCCAACCCAAAGGAAGUCUACUUGGUUAUUUAUUAGAGGGACUCGUUAAGCCAUCUUAUCCUCGGCUCUUUUCGUUCGUCUUCGUUCUUCGUUCGUCAUUCCACCUUUCUCCGUUCCCCUUGCUCGGGUCUCCAGGUUAAGGAAGAGCUGUCACACCCGCGUUAUCUACCAGACCGCAUUGUUUUAAUCUCAGAACGUCUCUGCUCUCCCACCAAACUCUGCAUCCUCUUGACCAUAGAAUACACAGCCUCCGACCUCCUCCACUUCAGUUCCUUCUGCCCCCUCCCAAGAUCCUCGUCAUCAUUUUCAUCCAGCUAGUCCCGCUCGUCGCGACCUACGCGAGAUACCAUCAUCAAGUAGUGAUCCUGUGGCCAACUAGAGGAGGCGGUCCAGGAGCAAGAUCAUCGGUAGCAAGAGAGAUGCGCAGUGCCGAUGUCUACCUUGGAGAUUGAUUACGUCGCCAUUCGGGAAUUAAACUAUACUACCUUCCUACUUUCAAUUCACCGACAACCUCAGAACCAUCCUAGCUUGAUUCUACGUCAUAUAGAGAUUAUAUAUAGAGAACGACAGACUUUUAUACAACCCAUUCGCAAAGUGUCCCACGUGGUAUCGCUAACCAUACGUCACGCACCGUUAGAGCCCUUCUGGACACUUACUCUAGACUAUUAACCUUUGAUCAUUUGUUUUUAGGUUAGGUUCACCACAAAGGCUGCAAAGCGUAAGGAGGAUGGGUAUAAUGGGCAAUAUCGAAACGAAACGGACAGCUGUGACUUCUUAACCCGAAAGUUCUUCUUGUAUCGUAGCGCGUUACCCGUGUAAUAUACAGCUUACUGUAUAUCACAACGGGGCGCAGCAUGUGGACGUUUAUGGGCGUAGCUGAAGGCGUCUUUUGUAGGACAACCCGGUUACAAUGUCAGGUGUCGCCGAAGCUUUUUUUCGUAGCUACAUCCUGAGAGUCUUCCUUUUUUUAUCUUUCACCUUUUACCUUCCGUGGUCUAAGCAGGAAUGGAUUUCCCCCCUGUCCACCCCUCGCUGCCUCGACCCCCUUUACCCCGCGUGUACCUUAUAACCGCCCACUCAACAAAUCAAGCGAACUUUUUAAUUGCCUGACAUCUUUACAGCUCCUAUAAAACAAUGAAUAAGGCUGCUUUCGAAUGAGGAGAUAUGUAGAUACGCGAGAGGGAUAUGGGACGUAUCCACGAACUGGCUACGAACGGAUGGACGAAGGAACGAGAGAACGAAGGAAUGAGCGGACGGACAGACGGAUGGGUGCGUCGCGACGCUCCGAAGCUAAGAGGACGUGCUCUACGAGACGCCGGUUACGUUCACCUCGUUGAUCCGAGGUCCGACUUCCUGCUAAACCGGAUUCCACAUUUUUUCUUUAUUAUCAGUUCAAGCGACUCCUCUGUGCACUCGCUUUUCUUAUUUUCAGAAUAGAACAAUUUUAUUGGCGAUCAUACAAAUCAAGACUUUACGUCUCAUUCGACCUAGAUGUCCGACUGUUUUCGAGUUAAAAUAAUAAUAACAAUGCGCCAACGAUAAAACUGUAAUUAAUUACAAGGUUGGUAUUUCCAAAAAUUUAUAUAAAAAAACUCUACAAAAUUUUACAAAUUAUGUAACACCAAGCCUAAUGAUCCGACCACGUGACAGUGUUUGUUAAAAAUUGAAAGAGUAAAAAACUAAAAAUAUAUAUAUAUAUAUAUAUACUACAUCAUGCAUGUACUCUGGAUUCGCAAAAUUUCCAUAUCAUCAAAAUCGAUUAUUCAUUUCAUGCCUAUACCUACAUUAUAUAACAAUAUGAUAAAAAAAAAUGUAUCCAUAACUACACCCUAUGUACGUAUAGGAAUAGCCAUAUGGUCCUUAACACUAAUUUAUACAUGUGAGUGUACGUGUUUUUUGAACUAGAUACGUGUCCUAAUAAACAAACUAAUAAUAAACACUUCGUUAACGACCCCAUUAAAAAAUCAUCCGGUCAUCGUACCACGUGACUACCAUGUUCCACCUGAGAAAAACUUUAUUUUUUUUUAUUAAGCGAGACGAUACUUUGUUCCAGUUGAAAAGUCAGAUUGUGCCAGAUGGACAGACAGUCAGUUCCUUUCUACGCGUUGCCGUAAAAGAACCGUAAAAACGACGGUCGUUUAGCUAAGGGAAUUUCGAGUUCUUGUUAUGGUCGGAACGACGAUCGGUUCGAGUCGAAGCGUCACGCAUGAUGACGAUUAACGAUUUCAUUAAAAUGAAGUAAAGGAACGAUCGGUACCGUCGAUCUCGUUUUCCAUUCGACCGUCGAUGACGUAAGCUCGGAUAUGUAAAUCAGAGACUCAUUUCUACAUAGGUACGCCAAACUGGUGUCUCUGAUACCCACGCACGUGCGAUAUAGGGAAUGGAGCGUGUACGUAUAACAUGCGAAUAGAGUACGUUAUCGACGUGUGAUUUGUACGAUCUGAAGAUUGGUCUUACAUUAAUGUUAAUUAAUGCGUCGAGAAGCCUACUUAGCAAUUCUUAAGAAGCUACAACAUGGUCGAUACCUGUUAGCCGCCUGCGAUUAUAAAUGACAAAAGAACCGUACUGGGAUUUGAAUCUUCGAUUUUUUUUUAAAUUCUUUAAUUUUAACCUAGUCUUUUCUUGCCGCCUCGAAUCGACUCGCCUGAUACCUGAUGAGCCCAGGUCAAUAGCUACCGGUCGCCUACCGAGGACCGAAUUUUGAUAGAAUUCCUUGGAUCAGUCCUCAACCUGACCAAAGCAAAAUUUCAUUUGGCAAAGACAGGAUAAAUAUUAAAAAAAGAAUCUUUAAACUUGCCGCAAUGAGAUAACCACUUGUGCUUCCCAGCCAGAUGGCAUGCGCGCAGAUGCCGGCUAAGGGUACCAGGUCUGAUUACGGCCCUGACGCCGUAUAGUUUGCCUAACGCGAUCUAAUAAGACCAAAGCCAAUCGUCAAAGUGGAGAAUGAACUUGGCGAGAAUGAAACCAUAAAAACGAGCUAGGUCGUUAAUCGUUUCCUCCUAAAAAUCAUCAAGAGUGAGAAGGACGCACGGAAAAGUGAAGACGUGCGCAGAAAGCCAGACAACGAUGAAAAAUAGAGCGAAGAGGAGUGACGCCGGUGGGGCAAGAGGAGUCAUAAUAAAUAUCAGGUAAGGAAAGAUCGGGGCGCUACUUAU